rnacentral:rRNA from 1 species
UACAGAGGGGGCAAGCGUUGUUCGGAAUUACUGGGCGUAAAGGGCGCGUAGGCGGCCUGUUAAGUCGAACGUGAAAUCCCUCGGCUCAACUGAGGAACUGCCUUUGAAACUGUCUGGCUUGAGGCCGGGAGGGGGUAGCGGAAUUCCCAGUGUAGCGGUGAAAUGCGUAGAUACUGGGAGGAACACCAGUGGCGAAGGCGGCUACCUGGACCGGUUCUGACGCUGAUGCGCGAAAGCGUGGGUAGCAAACAGG